UACGUAGGGUGCAAGCGUUUGUCCGGAAUUAUUGGGCGUAAAGAGCUCGUAGGCGGUCUGUCGCGUCGGCUGUGAAAACCUGGGGCUCAACUCCGGGCCUGCAGCCGAUACGGGCAGACUAGAAUUCGGUAGGGGAGACUGGAAUUCCUGGUGUAGCGGUGAAAUGCGCAGAUAUCAGGAGGAACACCAAUUGCGAAGGCAGCUCGCUGGGACGUUACUGACGCUGAGACGCGAAAGCGUGGGGGAGCAAACAGG
rnacentral:rRNA from 1 species